ensembl:lincRNA Gm14902 predicted gene 14902
AGUUCAAUUUGGAAACAUGGGGAACAAGGAGCCUCCCCUGCCAUCCUGUUUUGUAAAGCUGCAAAGGACAGAGACAGUGACUGGGACAGAUGCUCUCCAGCUGCAAGCAAGCCUCCCUCCAGCUCCUCAAUUGCUUUUAAACUUGAAGGAGAUGCAUGAAAGAUAGAGAUGCGAUAAACACGGAUCGUCAGCAUGGAGCAGAGACCAGGGUUCUUUAUGUCAGGCUUUCUGAAACUUCUCCCAUUGUUACUUCAUUUCACCUGAGAAAUGUUUAUGCCACCAAAUUUUCAUAGGCAUGUAAAACAAGCAUACAAAAUAAAUGUUUGCAGGUAAUAAUUAUAAAGAUAUUUACUGUAAAGCAGUUCUGUAGUAUACAUAUAAUGUACCAUUUACUAAAGAUGAAAGCAAAUUUGCAUACUAAGAUGAAUAAGUAUUUAUUUUUAUAUAAAUAAGCCUUGGCUGAUUUAAAAAUAUUAAUGUGUUUGUAUGUGUACAUGUGUGAUAAAUAUGAUCAACUCAUAAAUUGUGAGAAAAUUCUGUCUUAAUGUUGAGACAGGGUCUCUAAGAAUCGCUGGCUGUCCUAUGCAAACCAGGCUGGCCUCAAACUCACAGGAUCCACCUGCCUCUGCCUCCUGAGUGCUAAGAUUAAAGGUUUGCACCACCAUGCCAGGCUUUUAACAUUUUUUUUUAACUAUGUAACUCAAAACAGAAACUUAAGCAGAAAUUUCUAAAGUAAGAUAUUUUAGGGGCUAGGGAUGUAGCUUAGUUGGAAGAAUGCAUUUCUGCUUGCAUGCAAACCCCUGAGUUUGAUCCUCAGCAUCUCCUAAAAUGGAAAGUAAUGGUGUAUGCCUGUAAUUUCAGUACUCAGAGAAGGCAGAGGCAGGUGGAUAAGAAGUUCAAUGUUCUCAUCAGCUAUGCAGCAAGUUCAAGGCCAGCCCAUGUUACGUGAGACCUGCCUACACACACACACCUCAAAAUAAAUAAAACAUUUUAAUGCAACAAAUUUG